rnacentral:tRNA from 1 species
UAAGUGAAAGCCAAAACAGAGGCAUCUAGCUGUUAAUUAGAAAAAUGUAAAUAUUAUUACUCAUUUAG